AACGAGCUUUGCAAAGCAGCUUUGCUUGCUCGGCAACAACAGUGGGGAUACAGCCUUCGCCGGGUCGGAGGGAAGCUCCGCCUUGGUAACAAGCUUCUGACUGGCUGGCCUAGGGAAGGAGCGGGCCAAUCAAAGCUUGAGGGGGAGUUGGGUGGGGACACUAGGUUUGAGAGCUGGGUUCCUUGCUCACCGCGGAGCACGCACAGCAGGACCUUUCAGGAAGGGCGGGUGGCUGUGGUGCUUUCGGUGCCUCCCCACUUCACCACCUGCUGCUCGAGUGGCUAAGUCUCUGAAGCUUCGGAUUUUUCCACAGUUUCUGGCUUUCCUUGAAGGACCUACCAACACCUGCUACCUUUGCUCCGAAACCAGGAGGAAGGUGGUCCAGGUCAUCUCUGAUGCACCGGACACUGGGACAUCAGAUCAGCCUCACUCCCAGCACUGCAUCGGACCUUUGAGUGGCAUCUGAUGAAGCCUGCUCAGAGACGCCUAUGAGCCAUAGUUCAUCAGACAGCGGGGUGGGAUGAGGGCUGGAGAGGAAGGAGAGGUAGUGCUGUUUCUGAGAUCCGAGUCUCGAGUCAGGCCACCACUGAGGUAGAUCCUGUCACCAUAAGGACACACAAAAGCUUUGGAUUUGAGCAGAUAGUUCUGCCUGCUGGUCUCUCAGCUGGGAUGAAGGUCAAAACACUAGAUGGAAUCUUCAGUUGUGCUGUAAUAUUUUCAGUAAACUUGGAAUACGACAACGAAAAUAUCGUGUGUGUUCCCUAACCCCACCACACAUAAGCGCACAUGCUCCUAUAGACUCAGCAGUCAGCACCAUAGCAUCCAGUUCAAGAUUUGAGAAAGAGGUGGGCAGGGCUGCCACUGUUCUCUGCCACCUACUGGCUGAUUAGCACCUUGAGCAACGGUUACCCAUUCUGAACCUUGGUUUCCCUCUGUGUAAAAUACUAGUAAUGUCACCUACCUUCUAGAAUUGUGACCAAAGGCUGCAUGCAUAAAGAUCUCACCUUAGCCAAUAAAAACAAAGGAACCACUUUCCUUUCUCAUACGUAGCCAGCCUUCUGUUGCGGUUUAGAUGCUAGGGAUGAGACUAAAUUCUAGGAAUAUUAAAAAUUCAUCAUAAUAAAGCAAUAUAAGAUCCAGGACAAAGUCUAGUAAAAUAUCAACCCAGCUACAGCCUAAGAUAGAUCCUGCUUUAGGUAUCUCUUGGCAAGACAGGGUUCUUCUUUUUCAGAAAAGUCUCC
rnacentral:lncRNA from 1 species